rnacentral:rRNA from 1 species
AACGAACGCUGGCGGCAGGCUUAACACAUGCAAGUCGAGCGCCCCGCAAGGGGAGCGGCAGACGGGUGAGUAACGCGUGGGGAUCUGCCUAGUGGUACGGAACAACACGGGGAAACUCGUGCUAAUACCGUAUAAGUCCUUCGGGAGAAAGAUUUAUCGCCAUUAGAUGAACCCGCGUCUGAUUAGCUAGUUGGUGAGGUAACGGCUCACCAAGGCGACGAUCAGUAGCUGGUCUGAGAGGAUGAUCAGCCACACUGGGACUGAGACACGGCCCAGACUCCUACGGGAGGCAGCAGUGGGGAAUAUUGGACAAUGGGCGCAAGCCUGAUCCAGCCAUGCCGCGUGAGUGAUGAAGGCCUUAGGGUUGUAAAGCUCUUUCGCUGGGGAAGAUAGUGACGGUACCCAGAGAAGAAGCCCCGGCUAACUUCGUGCCAGCAGCCGCCGCAG